GCCUGGCUGACUCAGUUGGAAGAGAAUGAGACUCUUGAUCUCAGGGUUGUGAGUUCGAGCCCCACGUUGGUUG
rnacentral:tRNA from 1 species